rnacentral:rRNA from 1 species
UACGGAGGUCCCGAGCGUUGUUCGGAUUUAUUGGGCGUAAAGGGUGCGUAGGCGGCGGGGUAAGUUGGGUGUGAAAUCCCGGGGCUCAACCUCGGAAUGGCAUUCAAUACUGCUUCGCUAGAGUACUGGAGAGGAGGCUGGAAUUUACGGUGUAGCAGUGAAAUGCGUAGAUAUCGUAAGGAAGGCCGGAGGCGAAAGCGAGCCUCUGGACAGUUACUGACGCUGAUGCACGAAGGCCAGGGGAGCAAACGGG